UAGAUCUAUGAUGUUUCCCAGGCAUGGUGUGUUGGAACAUGGAUAUGAUAUAUGUGAGAGUCAAGCAGAGUACCCGUGCCCUGCAGCACACAAACUCUGCCAUGAGCCCUUUCUCUAGCAAUCUGGACUUGUGCGAUGUACCCGAUGCUCGGACGCGGUGCUCUGCUGCCAUGGAAAUUGCUGUGAUGGCAAACCACAAGGUCAAACAAACAUAGUCAGUCCUGGACCAGACCUUAAAUACAGAGAACAAAGAUAGCAAGGACCAGUGUUUCUCAAAGGCUUCCUUCUUUUAUUUUAAAGUGGUGAUGGUGGUGCAUAUUUGCAAUGGGCAUAAGUCUGUCACAACCCAGUAAAGAAGGUAAAACGUAUUCCUUAUUCUGUUUGCUAAAACCUUAGUUGUCUUUUUUUUUUUUCUAGAAGCAAGAACCAUUUCUUUUCUGACUAUCUAAAACUUCCCCCCAUUAAAGUCACUGGACUCAGAAGUGUUCUUGGAAAACAUUCCUAUUUUUGUCUGGGUAACAGAGGUGGAACAGACAUCUACAACAAAGGUGCUGAAUCCAAAUCUCUACACGAUUGAGCUGAGCCACGGGGACUUCACGUGGAAAAUCAAACGCUGUUUCAAGCACUUCCAAGCUCUUCAUCAGGAGCUGCUGAUGUUCAAGGCUCUUCUAAAUCUCCCCCUGCCAACCUGCAUAUGCAGCUGGAGGACAACCUGAGAAACAUCCUCAAAAGCACCAUGUAUGAGAUCCAUCCAGCGACCACAAGUACAGCAACUUACAGUCAAAGCCUUGUCUUGUAAAAGAAUGACAUCAAUACAGUCAACUCCA